rnacentral:tRNA from 1 species
GGGGCAAUAGCUCAGUCGGUUAGAGCAACGGACUCAUAACCCGUCGGUCGUCAGUUCAAGUCUGACUUGCCCCA